rnacentral:rRNA from 1 species
GGCAGCAGGCACGCAAAUUACCCACUCUCAGAACGAGGAGGUAGUGACGAAAAAUAACAAUACGGGACUAUUAAUAGGCCCCGUAAUUGGAAUGAGUACAAUAUAAAUCCUUUAACGAGGAUCUAUUGGAGGGCAAGUCUGGUGCCAGCAGCCGCGGUAAUUCCAGCUCCAAUAGCGUAUAUUAAAGUUGCUGCGUUUAAAAAGCUCGUAGUUGUAUCUCAGUUCAUGUCAAUUGGUUAACCACUUAUUAGUGAUUACUUUUUGACUGAACAUUGAACCGAUUUGUUUUCUGAUGCUCUUUACCGAGUGUUAUUAACGAUCGGGAUCUUUACUUUGAAAAAAUUAGAGUGCUCAAAGCAGGCAUUUCGCCUAAAUAUUCUUGCAUGGAAUAAUGGAAUAAGAUCUAGGUUCUAUUCUGUUGGUCUUUUGAACCUCAGUUAAUGAUUAAAAGGGACAGACGGGGGCAUUCGUAUUGCGGCGCUAGAGGUGAAAUUCUUGGACCGUCGCAAGACGAA